CGGCAGCACGGGAGCAUCCUGGUGGCGAGUGGCGAACGGGUGAGUAAUAUAUCGGAACGUGCCCAGUCGUGGGGGAUAACGCAGCGAAAGCUGUGCUAAUACCGCAUACGAUCUAUGGAUGAAAGCGGGGGAUCGCAAGACCUCGCGCGAUUGGAGCGGCCGAUAUCAGACUAGGUAGUUGGUGGGGUAAAAGCCCACCAAGCCGACGAUCUGUAGCUGGUCUGAGAGGACGACCAGCCACACUGGAACUGAGACACGGUCCAGACUCCUACGGGAGGCAGCAGUGGGGAAUUUUGGACAAUGGGCGCAAGCCUGAUCCAGCAAUGCCGCGUGCAGGAUGAAGGCCUUCGGGUUGUAAACUGCUUUUGUACGGAACGAAACGGUCCUUUCUAAUACAAGGGGCUAAUGACGGUACCGUAAGAAUAAGCACCGGCUAAC
rnacentral:rRNA from 1 species